AGAACCAACAGCAAUGGCAUCACCUAGGAGCUCAUUAGAAAUAGAGACUCAAUUCUCAAGCCCUACCCCAGACUGACUGAAUCAGAAUCUGCAUUUUAACAAGAUCCCCAGGUGAUUCAUCUGCACAUUUGAAGUUUGAGAAGCAUUGAUUCGUCUAUAUUAGGGGGCUGGUUCAUCUUCGGGAUGAUAUAAGGUUACCACCACUGAAUGUCAAGGUGCAAACUGACUCCAAGGGUAGAAUGGAGACUGCCCUCCUCAUCCUCAUUAUUCAACCAGACUUCACACCUUCAGGUUCCAGUCAGUGCUCAGACUUCCUGUCUUCAACCUUGCCACAUUUUCGAGUCCAGCAAUAGCUUCUGCAAUUACUUUACUGUGCACAGUCUCUGAAAACCACCAUCAACUAGUGGUCUCACAUUCUUACACAUGUGCUCUAAUUAUCUAGAUAUGGUUGUCUUUGAAAACACUUUUUAAAGUUCUAUGGAGCCUAUUAUACAGAGUGAAGUAAGCCAGAAAGAAAAACACCAAUACAGUAUACUAACACAUAUAUAUGGAAUUUAGGAAGAUGGCAAUGACGACCCUGUAUGCAAGACAGGAAAAAAGAAACAGAUGUGUAUAAUGGACUUUUGGACUCAGAGGGAGAG
rnacentral:lncRNA from 1 species